CCGAUAGCGUAUAUUAAAGUUGUUGCAGUUAAAAAGCUCGUAGUUGAAUUUCGAGAUCGGCUUACUGGUCGUGCUUUUGUACGUACUGGUAAAUCGGUUUCUCCUUUCUGACGAACUAUAAUGCCAUUUAUUUGGUGUUUUAGGAAAUCAGGACUGUUACUUUGAAAAAAUUAGAGUGUUUAAAGCAGGCUCACGCUUGAAUACAUUAGCAUGGAAUAACAGAAUAGGACGUUUGAUUCUAUUUUGUUGGUUUCUAGGAUCGACGUAAUGAUUAAUAGGGAUAGUUAGGGGCAUUAGUAUUCAAUUGUCAGAGGUGAAAUUCUUGGAUUUAUUGAAGACUAACUACUGCGAAAGCAUUUGCCAAGGAUGUUUUCAUUAAUCAAGAACGAAAGUUAGGGGAUCGAAGACGAUCAGAUACCGUCGUAGUCUUAACCAUAAACUAUGCCGACUAGGGAUCGGAUGAUGUUAAUUUUUUAAUGACCCAUUCGGCGCCUUACG
rnacentral:rRNA from 1 species